UGCGCAGCGCGUGUUUCAGAACGAUGUCGCUGAACUUGACCCCCUUGAGCCGGGCGGUGCGGAUGUACUGUGCCGUCAUCACCUCGGUCAUCGACGCGCGCGUCAUCCGCGCGAUGUAGCCCAUCCCGUAAAGCGAGAUCGUGAGCACCGGGAGGAAGAAGUUCCAGAAAUUCGCGUC
rnacentral:ncRNA from 1 species